UUUUCUCUUUUUUAAUUGUGUUAAACAUGAUUUACAAUAGGUUCAAUGUCUGUUUUAAAAAUAAAUAAGUUUUUAAAGCUGACUGUGCGGUUUAGGCAUUGUUGAAGGCCGCACGGUGACCUGUGCUGUUAAUUUCCCUGCCAUUUGGUCUCUUGUGAAGAGUUGUCUCAUUGGCAGUCAUACCGCAUCUUCUUAUUUCAUACAGCAUGACGAAUACACGCUACUUUUUUAAAGGAUAUAAAAUUUGGUGGAAAGAUAAUAGAUAUUGUGCAGCAGCAUAUUCAAUCACAACAUACAUGUAUCAAUCUUUAUAGAAUAAAAUAGCCUUAACGUUCUGCAAGAAGUAAUAAUAAAUUUACUUACACAAGUAUUGUAGCCUUUACUACAUUCAGUUUGAUAAGAGAAUACUCACUUUUGACAUUUAACAACAAAUAAUUCAAUAAUUACAAAAUCAUUUCCC
rnacentral:lncRNA from 1 species